AGAGGCAGCUGCUGGAACAAGAAUGACCCUCAGAGAAGCAUCCUUGAGCCUGCCAAUGGGGAAAUCCUUCUAACCUGUGACAUCACAGGCCAAUCAUCUGUCGGGGCCCUGGAGCACUGCAGUUGGGUCUUCGUACCACCGAGACCAGAAUCCUGGGCUAGGGUUUGGCCUGGUCAGCGCUGACUCCACAUGGGCUCCAGGCUCCUCUGCUGUGUGGCCCUCUGCCUCCUGGGAGCAGGCCCCUUGGACACGGCGGUUUCCCAGACUCCCAAAUACCUCGUCACACGGGUGGGAAAUAAGAUGUCCCUAAAAUGUGAACAAAAUCUGAGCCAUAAUACCAUGUACUGGUAUAAGCAAGACUCCAAGCAAUUGCUGAAAAUCAUGUUUUCCUACAGUAAUAAGGAAGUCAUUGUAAACGAAACAAUUCCAAUCCGUUUCUCACCUGAAUCUCCUGACAAUGCUCAUUUAAACCUUCAUGUCGACUCCCUGGAGCCCGGCGACUCUGCUGUGUAUUUCUGUGCCAGCAGCAAAGACACAGCCCUGCAAAGUCACUGCCUCCCUGUGCACAAACCCCCUGGCCCAGCCAGGAAGCUGUGGGGACAACAUGUUCACCCGAUCCUGAGGCUCCAAUCACCCCAUGAGACAUCUGACUUGAGUUUCAGUCUUUAG